rnacentral:rRNA from 1 species
AACGAACGCUGGCGGCAUGCCUAACACAUGCAAGUCGAACGAGACCUUCGGGUCUAGUGGCGCACGGGUGCGUAACGCGUGGGAACCUGCCCUUAGGUUCGGAAUACCUCCCCGAAAGGGGUGCUAAUACCGGAUAAUUUCUUCGGACCAAAGAUUUAUCGCCGUUGGAUGGGCCCGCGUUGGAUUAGCUAGUUGGUAGGGUAAAAGCCUACCAAGGCGACGCUCCAUAGCUGGUCUGAGAGGAUGAUCAGCCACACUGGGACUGAGACACGGCCCAGACUCCUACGGGAGGCAGCAGUGGGGAAUAUUGGACAAUGGGCGAAAGCCUGAUCCAGCAAUGCCGCGUGAGUGAUGAAGGCCUUAGGGUUGUAAAGCUCUUUUACCCGGGAUGAUAAUGACAGUACCGGGAGAAUAAGCACCGGCUAACUCCGUG